GACGAACGCUGGCGGCGUGCCUAAUACAUGCAAGUCGAGCGGGCCUCCGGAGGUGCUUGCACCUCCGGACGGCCAGCGGCGGACGGGUGAGUAACACGUGGGCAACCUGCCUUUGAGGCCGGGAUAACACCGGGAAACCGGUGCUAAUACCGGAUACGUCCUCUUUCGCGCCUGCGAGAGGGGAGAAAGACGGUCUUUAAGGCCGUCGCUCAAAGAGGGGCCCGCGGCGCAUUAGCUGGUUAGUGGGGCAAGGGCCUACCAAGGCGACGAUGCGUUGCCGACCUGGGAGGGUGAUCGGCCACACUGGGACUGAGACACGGCCCAGACUCCUGCGGGAGGCAGCAGUAGGGAAUCAUCCGCAAUGGGCGAAAGCCUGACGGUGCAACGCCGCGUGAGUGAGGAAGGUUUUCGGAUCGUAAAGCUCUGUUGUGAGGGAAGAACAGCAUCCGGAGGAAAUGCCGGAGGUUUGCCGGUACCUCACCAGAAAGCCCCGGCUAACUACGUGCCAGCCGCCGCGGUAAGAC
rnacentral:rRNA from 1 species